GAUGAACGCUGGCGGCGUGCCUAAUACAUGCAAGUCGAGCGAACGGACGAGAAGCUUGCUUCUCUGAUGUUAGCGGCGGACGGGUGAGUAACACGUGGAUAACCUGCCUAUAAGACUGGGAUAACUUCGGGAAACCGGAGCUAAUACCGGAUAAUAUUUUGAACCGCAUGGUUCAAAAGUGAAAGACGGUCUUGCUGUCACUUAUAGAUGGAUCCGCGCUGCAUUAGCUAGUUGGUAAGGUAACGGCUUACCAAGGCAACGAUGCAUAGCCGACCUGAGAGGGUGAUCGGCCACACUGGAGCUGAGACACGGUCCAGGCACCUACGGAAGGCAGCAGUAGGGAAUCUUCCGCAAUGGGCGAAAGCCUGACGGAGCAACGCCGCGUGAGUGAUGAAGGUCUUCGGAUCGUAAAACUCUGUUAUUAGGGAAGAACAUAUGUGUAAGUAACUGUGCACAUCUUGACGGAACCGAAUCAGAAGGCCACGGCAAACUACGU
rnacentral:rRNA from 1 species